rnacentral:misc_RNA from 1 species
GUGAAUCAUCGAAUUUUUGAACGCAAAUCGCACUCUCCUCGGAGAGUAUGCCUGUUUGAGGGUCAGUAUUAAUAAAAUCGGUGUUGCUUUUUUGUGACGUUCCGGAGAUUGGGCUACCUUUAACUUUCGGGUUUAAGAGGCUUAAAAUUGAUCUUACUUGCGCAUUUUUAGACGUACAUAAAUUUUUUUUUUAUUCGUCUAUUCUUAUUGCCAAAUUCUUAUUAGAGGCGAUC